UUCUCUUCUGUGAAGCUUCCUGGGCCAUCCGUGCCAUUUGUAGCAUCCUGCUGGCAGAGCUCCACUACUCUAACAUCUUUUGACAGAAGAACCAUAGUUCUGUGAAGUAUUUUGAAGCCAGUUCCAGCCAGCUUGAUUUGAUGCCUCCGGUUCUCUUAACAAACAGUAAAGCCCAAUUUGCCUCCCGUGUGCCACUUAUAUUUUUAAAGACGUCUGUCAUAGUUUCCAUCUCUUGUCCAGGGAAGGAUUUUUCUUUUGUUAUAUUUAUCUGGAAAGAUAUUUCAUCCAAAGAAGAUUAUUCAACUAGCAGGUUGUUUUGGAGAGAAGAUAUAAAAUUUGUAGAAGAACUAUAUUUUUUGUUUAAAGUUAUGCUUCAAGUAGCACUGAUAGUAGUACUGAUCUUCUGGUCUGGUUAACAUUAUAAUGAACAACUACCUACAUAAAAUAAAAGAUG